UACAUCCUGCGAUGUUCGUAUCGGUUAUUCGUUGUUUUUGAACCAAUGACUAUGUCUCGGGAGAUCAAACGAGGUGCGGCUGAAACGCCCUGUCUAUAUGACAUGGGGACUUCAUAAACAGCUCUGAGAUCACCCACCUGCUAUCGCAGGUUCAGAAGACAAUAUAAUCGGACGGCAUUUGCGGGAAUCC
rnacentral:other from 1 species